CCCGAUACACCACCUGUACCACUACCAUCGCCAUCCUUCCUACGAUGCCUGAGCUGCGUCGCCGAGCACGCAGGAAUCGAGCACACAAAAAGCCAAACCCGAAUCAGAAUCCGAUUAAGCUCACUGUACAGACUCGACAGAGAAAAACCGCUGAUAAUAAGAAGAAAAAUAAAGCGAUCGCUAUUGAUGAUAAGAAAAACAUUGUGAACCCUGAAACAACACCUUUAGAGGAGAAGCCUAGGGCUUUUAGAGAGGAGGUUGUCGAGAAGACCAUGGAUGAGUAUGAUAGCGGCGGUCGCAGCGGCGAUAAGGG
rnacentral:lncRNA from 1 species